rnacentral:lncRNA from 1 species
AGGCUUUAUGAUUUUGCAUCCAAGAAGUAUUUGGUCUCCAGGGAUGUUCUAUUUCAUGAAUCAGUUUUUCCUUUUAAACAUGCCUCUCCCUCUGCUCCUCCCUCUGCUUCUUCUUUUCCUUUUCUUCUCUCUGGAGAACAUGAUGAUAUCUCUGAUUCUCCCAUUCCACUUUCUCCUCCCUCUUCUGACACUCCUGUCCAGAUGCCUUCUCCUACUCCACUCAGUCCUGCUAUUUCCCCUCCUGUUUUGGAUCCUCCUCCUUCUGUACCUGCUCCCAAAAAGUCUAAUGACACCAUAAUCCUCCUUCCUAUCUUAAAGAUUAUGU